GACGAACGCUGGCGGCGUGCUUAACACAUGCAAGUCGAACGGAAAGGCCCUGCUUUUGUGGGGUGCUCGAGUGGCGAACGGGUGAGUAACACGUGAGUAACCUGCCCUUGACUUUGGGAUAACUUCAGGAAACUGGGGCUAAUACAGGAUAGGAGCUCCUGCUGCAUGGUGGGGGUUGGAAAGUUUCGGCGGUUGGGGAUGGACUCGCGGCUUAUCAGCUUGUUGGUGGGGUAGUGGCUUACCAAGGCUUUGACGGGUAGCCGGCCUGGGAGGGUGACCGGCCACAUUGGGACUGAGAUACGGCCCAGACUCCUACGGGAGGCAGCAGUGGGGAAUAUUGCACAAUGGGCGGAAGCCUGAUGCAGCAACGCCGCGUGCGGGAUGACGGCCUUCGGGUUGUAAACCGCUUUCGCCUGUGACGAAGCGUGAGUGACGGUAAUGGGUAAAGAAGCACCGGCUAACUACGUG
rnacentral:rRNA from 1 species